UGGGGAAUAUUGGACAAUGGGCGAAAGCCUGAUCCAGCCAUGCCGCGUGUGUGAAGAAGGUCUUCGGAUUGUAAAGCACUUUAAGUUGGGAGGAAGGGCAGUUACCUAAUACGUAAUUGUUUUGACGUUACCGACAGAAUAAGCACCGGCUAACUCUGUGCCAGCAGCCGCGGUAAUACAGAGGGUGCAAGCGUUAAUCGGAAUUACUGGGCGUAAAGCGCGCGUAGGUGGUUCGUUAAGUUGGAUGUGAAAUCCCCGGGCUCAACCUGGGAACUGCAUUCAAAACUG
rnacentral:rRNA from 1 species